CUAAGAUCACAGUUUUAUAUCACAGGAUAAAACCGGAGUUCUCAGGGCCAGCUGGCAAGGAUUCACAGUGACAACAUUUUAAAAAUAAGCCGCGUGCGGUCACGGUGCAUCGCAGCUAUCGCUGUGCUGUACGAUCCAAAGCUUCGGAGACCGCCACUCGGGGUCCUUCAGCCUUUCCCCAGCCGUGGUGAGUGAGGUACACAACCACUUCUCAAGACACUGUGAACCUCUCUCCUCUCCCAAGCCUGCUCACGAUGGAAGAUCAAGGAGGAGAUAAUUAGCAUGCGGGUUCUGAUUACAGACCGUGAAUCCUCACUACUGGGGUGCCACUCACGGACAGAUGCAAACCAAACUCCUUCGUCACUGUCAGUGAGCAGCGCAUACAGUCGCAGCUCUGGGAGGGGCAGGGGAAAAAAAACCCUCGUUUGCCAGACCCUAUGAACUCUGGCCCACAGCCCACGCGGCACUGGGAAUUCUGGUUGCCAGAAGGGAAACCACGUGACAGUUCUCCUUGAAACGUGUCACCACGGGGACAGAGAAAAAUCUAAUGGUAAACAUCUUUAUUUUCUGAGACAGGCCCAAGAACCUGGCUCCACAGGCCAGAAGAGAGCAGCAGACCUCAUUACAGAUGGUUGUGAGCUACCAUGUG